CUUAAACCUCAGAAGCCGAAACCACCUAAAACCCCAAAAUUUUCUUCUGUUCGCACUCCAUUGUUAGCACUUAGCAGCCAGCAGCCAUGAAGAAGCUUACUCUUUCUCCAGCUCGUAGCUUUUGCCUGUCCAAAUCCUCCUCUCUACUCCGCUCCUCUGCAUUGAGAUGGCUUUCUUCUGAUUCAAAAUCAAUUCCAGAUCAAUCAUCUCAAUCUGUGCCUAUCCAGCCAGUAUCUUACGCUGUAAAGCCUAAAGACGAGGCACCUUCAAAUGAAAACGAAACCCCUUCUCAACAACAGGUGGCUUCCCAAUCACCAGCAUCACAAGAAGAGCAACAACAACAAUUUCCUAGAAGAACCCAAGAAUCACCAUAUCAAGAAUCCCGGAUGCGUUGGACUCGGGAGGACAUCCGAUACGUCAAAGAUGCGCCUUCAAUAUCCCCUGUAUCCUAUCCAGCACGCGUUGCUCCACUACCUGAGGAUAGGGUUGACGCUGAAGGUGGAGGAGGAAAAGCUGCGGCGGAUGAUAUGGAUAGAGAGAGUAGGAGGAUUGAGGCGGAGAACCAGGGGCUUAGGAGGAUAUUUAGGGUUGCGGGAGAGGAGGAGAAAGUGGUAGUGCCUUUCCCUAGAUUGAUCCUGCCAGAGAAGAAGGAAAAGAGACCACUUUUUGAUUUGAUGGAUGCUAUUAGACAAGUCAAGACUAGUGCAAGGACUGCUUUCGAUGAGACUGUUGAAGCACACGUAAGAUUGGGCAUUGCUAAAUCUCGUUCUGAUAUGAUUGUUCGUGGUACAUUGACUCUGCCUCAUGGUGGUAAGAAGGCUAUCAGGAUAGCUGUCUUUGCUGAAGGGGCAGAUGCAGAUGAAGCUAGAGCUGCAGGAGCUGAUGUUGUUGGUGGUAGUGAACUUAUCGAUGAAAUUGCUAGUGCUGGCAAGAUUGACGUUGACAAGUGUUUUGCAACUAUUAAAUUGUAUCCCCGUGUAGCAAAGCUAGCAAGGAUUCUUAAUCGUUAUGGACUUAUGCCAGAUUCUAAACAAGGAACAGUGGUCAGUGAUGUUUCUAGGGCUGUGAAAGAUGCAAAAAAGGAUCAAAUUAAGUUUAAAAUGGACAAGACAUCAAUCGUGCAUGCAGGUCUUGGAAAGGUGAGUUUCACAGAGGAAUCUUUGCGUGAGAAUGUUGGAGCAUUUAUGAAUGCACUUUUGCAAGCAAAGCCUGCAGGCCUUAAGAAGACUUCCAAAUAUGCUGGGUAUGUGAACAGCUUCCAUAUAUGCAGCACGAUGGGACCAGGGUUCCCUGUUUCAAUACAGUCAUUAUCCAAGGCCGUGGAUCACUACAACAAAGCGCUCCUUAAGUAAUGUGAUUGCAGCAAAAUUCCGGCAUUAUUCUGUCUCUCUGUCUUUCCUCCCCAUUAUCGGGUGUUGACACUAGUAAAAAACAGUUGGGGGCAGCUAGGAUUAGCAUGGGAGUCAUUUCAUUUUUGCACUCAUUUUGUUCUUAAUGCUUUCAUCUGGAGCUUUGGCGUUGAGCCAUUGGCAUCCAUCGUUUUGAGUUCAAGCAGAUCCAACAGCGAUUAUUAUUAUUACUAUUAAAUAACACUCUUCUUGAGAAUGUCAACGCCAAGAUAUUACUGAUGUUAUACCAUAAGCACUGAUUGAUUUGCAUGAUUAGUCGCGAAAUAUCUUAAUUAGUGAUUGAUUGUUUUCUUGUUUUUUCUACUAAUAAGAGAGAUUGCCUCG
rnacentral:misc_RNA from 1 species